rnacentral:rRNA from 1 species
UGGGGAAUUUUGGACAAUGGGCGAAAGCCUGAUCCAGCAAUGCCGCGUGCAGGACGAAGGCCUUCGGGUUGUAAACUGCUUUUGUACGGAACGAAACGGUUCUCUCUAAUACAGGGGGCUAAUGACGGUACCGUAAGAAUAAGCACCGGCUAACUACGUG